CGCAAGUCCUGGCUGCACAAGGAGUCCCAGGCCAUCCUGAAAGGGGAGAACAGACAUUCACCACCAGCCAGAGGAAAUUGGGAAGUUCCUACUACUGUCUGGAAUUCUAGAUGCAAUUAUUAGCACAGUGAAAAAGCCCAGCCCUUGAUAAGCCAGCACAAGACUACUGCUUUCACAUGGAAAGAGCAAUACUCUCCUACAGGCCUUUGGCAGCAGAUGCUCUGGUUCCUUUCCUCUCUUCAUUCAGCUUAAUGUCCAAGUCCUGGAGCUG